GCUGAGGAGGGAGCUGGGGAGGUGAGACCCGUUCUACCUUGCUCGCCUCUGCACGGCGGAGGCUGAGAUUCGGGCGGGCGCAUCCGCCCGGGCCUUGCUGAGCCCUGGCACCCAGGACCCAGGGCCAUGGAGCUCCGUGGGCGGGACAGCGUCUGGGAGCACGGAUAGGCGCCUGGGGCUUGAUAGGAAGAAGAAGGGGGAAAGAGAAACACAGAUGUGAAACAUCCGUUGGUUGCCUCCCAUGUGCAUGCCAACUAGAGAAGAACUAGUAAUCCAGACUGCCUGCCUUGGGAAGUCCUUCCCAAUGUCUAAUCAAGAUCUGUACUGUUGAAACAUCAGUUUCUUGACCCUUGGCUGGACAUGACUGAUUUGAGAAGUAAAGAAGAAACCGCCACCCACCUCUGGUCACCUGUUUGGGCUUCCUGGACUCCAGCUGUUGGGAUAGGGAACUGAGACUUGGCUGGCUUGGCACAGCUCCACUGCACCCCAGGAAGGAACUGACCUUGACUAGGCACCCACUUGCUUGUAUCAAAAAUAAAGAACCUACUUCACCUAGUUGGUCUGGUUCCCUCUAAGAGUCCUUCCUGGAUUGACUGAAAGAUGAGGCUAAACUCUAACAAAUUGGCUGCUUUCUCCAAGAAGCUUGUGAACAGAAAGGAAGGAGAAAGGCCCCAGCCUCCAGCCUGGACAGCCGAUUACACCUGGGGCCACCUGGAAUAAGACCUGGCUUCACCAUUGGCUCUGGUCCCAUCCUGUCCUGUUUUUUCCUGUGUUGUCUGAGCUGAGAUUCCUCUGAGAAGGAAGUCCCAUCUCCUGUCUAAUAAAGACUCUUGACUACU